GAAAUUCCACUGUUCUUUUGUAACAUAACCACUGAUUUAAAGUGGGCCUAUAGCUGCCCACAUGGCCCAGUCUCUUUGGCAAACAAGUAUGACUAUGUCCAUUUUGGAAGAAGUUUGGAAGUGAUGUGUGUAACUUUUAGGACACAUCUUUAAAGGGAGGGACCAUAUCUCCCUGAAUCUUAGGCUUUCCUGCCUACUAAGCUGGACACCUAUGAAUCGUCUGGAAACAUGUGGAUGAGGGCAACAUCCUAAAAAUGGCAGAGCAACUAGAAACAACCACCUUGGUCUCUGACACCAUGGAGUCAUUACACCAAUCCUGAUUGUCCCGGAGUUAACAUCUGUGCCAGUCUUCCCCUGUUUUGUAUCUGGGACACUGUCACAGCAUGGCUUGAUGAACAGCGUGCAGGUCUGCACCUGGGGUCUGAACCCAUGAACCCUGGCGCCCUGAAGCAGAGCAGAUGGUAAUGACCUGCUGUGGUGAUCACUAGGCGAUGCAUACAAAUGUUGAAUCAUGAAGUUGUACACCUGAAACCAAUAUAAUAUUGCAUUCUGAGACCAACUUAGCUGUUGUUUCUCUUCAAUGAGUCUUCAACUUUAUACUUAAGAAUCAAGCAUUUCGCUGGAAUAUGUCUACAUUAAGUAUCUCCAUUUAUUUUCCUGAGUCAUGAAAGAAGAGGGUUGACCAGUUAUUCUCCGAGGUCCUUUUCAGUGUCGCUCGUCAAGGACUGGUUGGCUUAUCACCUGAGUCUAAAAACGUACCUGGCACAUAGUGACUGCUCAGUAUGUAUCUGUUGAAUAAGUGCAUGCUGGUAUGCAACAAAAGAGCCAGCAAGAGAAAUGGCUACGUGUUGUAUCUCUGGGGAGAAAGACUGGUGAUGAGCGAGGAGGACAGGACCCUCCCCUCUCAUCUGAUACAAGUGUUUUUACUCUGUGUGUAUUACGUUUAUUAUAAACUGUUUUAAAGACAUUGUGGCUGGAUCCUGAUCUAAAAUAUAUCAGUAUCCUAUGCACAUUUAAUCUAUAUUUAAUUUUAUUUCUUCCACUUCAAUCUACUUUGCUUCUGAUCAUAAAUGGAAAUGAGCCAGCAGAAAGGAGAUGGCAUCUAUCCAUUCUGCAUCCAUGCGAGAGUUCAGUGUUCUGGAACCUGAAUGCCAUGAACCCUCACUAAUGACCAUAGAUAGGAACCUAGGAAAAUACUUUUAUAUGAAUUAAUUGAAAUGAUACAAAUUAAAAAUGUGGCUAAUGUGAAUGUGAAUGCAAAUACAAGUAGAUACAAUCAAUUUAGCUGAAUGCACCAGACCAUUCAUGUGGCCACAAUUCCUCAAGCCCCACUAACUUUAAAUAUUUUCUAUAUCUGGCCAGCUUCAUUUACGUCUCUUCAGCAGCCUGCUUAGUGUGGAAGAACUGAAGUAGGAGAAAAGACCCACGGCGUGUUGGGCAACACUGAAGAAGAGCGAUUGAGUUAACACAUAACUUCUACCUGAUUGUUACCCCUGGCAGGUGUUUCAUCUUCCCAAAUGAAGUAUUUGGGGAUGAAAAAAAUUUCAGAUCUGCGAAUUUCUUGGUUGUGUGAUAUUAUAGACAUGAAAAAUAGACAACUAACAAGGAGAUAUCCUUAAAUGAGGGCACAGAAGCAUUUGCAUCAGUGAAAAAACGAAAAAUGCCUUUGCUUUCCCUCCUGUUCCCCACACUACGUGCACACACACGUACUCCUAACUCACACACACACACAUCUAAUUCUUUCUCACACACACCCCCAUGCACGCAGACAGGCACCCCUUCCCCUCAAUUCCUCACCCCAGGACUCGGAUGAUCAAUGCCCAGGCUCAGCCUUGCUCCUGCUGAAGUCACAUGUGAGUUCUAACAAACCCCCUCUAAAGCUGUCUCCUAUCACAUGCUCUUCAGGACAGGAUGAACACAUCCCCCGAAAACCAUGUUUUCUUUGCAUCCUAACUGAAAUGGCAUUAAAGGGGGAAAUAGGAAUUCAGCGCUGCCAGCUACGGUAUCUCUCCUAUCAGUUCACCAGUAAGGCCUGGUAGGGACCUGCCGAGCCUCUGGAUAAAUUGUAUUUUCCAAGGGUUAAUUAAGCUGUCUUGAGCUUCUGCAUGAAGAGGAACAAACUGGCACUUGCAGCGCUUUCUGAAACCUGCUGUCGACAUUACAGUCCCUGCUGCUUUUAGCUGUAUCGAUCCGAUGCCUGACCUGUGAAAUCCUUGAUGGCUGCUAACACUAGAAGCUUACUGGAGCUUUCCAAGGGAGCUUCGGGACAGCUUGUGUAGUCAGGUACAAUUACCUAUCCCUCCAGGAGAGCCAAUUAGUUCACAAAGAGCUGGAGCAGAACAAAUGUUUUGUAUGUGAUUUAGAAUCCUAAAAAAGAAAGGAGAAAAAAGAAAAAAAGGCUUUUGUUCUGUGUGAUUCUUUUGUUCCUAAUUUUAUGAUUAUUGUUUGAUUAGCAGUGGUCCUCACAUUUCCUCACAUGUUUUGGAAAGAAUUAUAAGAACAUGAUAAACUAGAUUUACAGUCUUCUCUUUAAACUACGAAAAUUGCCUUGUGCCAUUUAUGAUCCAGUUUCUGGACUAAUUGUAUCAGCUCAAAGGUAGGAAGCCCAAGUUUGUUCUACUUUCUGCAUUUCAGAAACUUUUUCUCUAAAUAGUACAAUAAAUUUUAAUCGCAAUGAAUUGGUCCCUUAAAAAAAAAGGGUGAAUGGCAACUACUUCUGAAACUAGGCUUUGCAGGUGGAAUGUAAGAAUAGGAGAUUCCUAGGCAGAAAUAUGCUGCACUUAUCCAGCCAUUAUCAACAUGAGCAUGAUUGAUUCUGAAACCAGUACAGCUAAACUUUACAGAUUGUCAACUAACAAAGUGUGAUGCCCUUUGAAUAAAAAGGUGGCACAACUGAUAUAUCAUCUGUAUGCCCUGAGCCUUGGACUGCUUUCCCAGUAACAGGUGUUAGUGUUACUGAGAUAUUUAUACCUCCUUGCACAUUUUCCUUUGUGACCAGUGAUAUCCAUUUACGAGCUAGCUGCAGAACGUGGUCUGUCCAUUAAAUACAUUUUUUUCUUUAUGUUUUUCUCUGAAUAUGAUCUUGACCAUACAGGGAUCAAUCAUUAGCCCUCAAAGCAUAGUGUGCCAAUAGAAUUAACUGCAAAUGCAAUUUAAUGAAUUCUAAUACUAAAUAAGCAUCAAAAUGAGGGAAAACGGCAAUCAGUUAUUAUUUUUAAUAAUGGAGAGAAAAUUUAAAAAUCUGGUUUCAAGUGUUCUUUCAAUAAAAUAAAAUCAUUUCUCUAUCUAUGACUGCAUGGUAGCUAUGAAAUAAACUGGAACCAGAAAUUUAAUGCAAAAAAGGUAUCAGAUUUAUUUAUCAUAGAAGACUUUGGUCCCAGCUUAGAAGAAGAUAAUAUAAACAUUUGUUUCCUAUUUCUGAAAGGAAGUAAAAUAAAAUUGCCAAGAAGAUUUCAUCGUAUUUUAGAAGUAAAUGAUCUAUAGUAAAAUCAGUCUCUGGACCUAAACUAGAGUGAAAAGUGCAAAGACAGUAAAACAAAAUUAAAAAAUCCGUCGGUUGUGUUUUACCUUAGCUGCUCUUAGUAAAAUCUGGUUUUAUUAAUUGGUAAUAAAGUGAUAAUUGCACAAAGAGAAGUAAGGGCCUAAUAUGGACCUGAGGCAGGUGGAACUAUAAGCCUGCUUACAUGGAGGCAGAAGGCAGGAGCCUGGGUGUUUGUCAAUGUCUGUGCCAGAGAACUUCUGGGGUCCUGAGCAGGCCUGGUGUUUGUCCCAGUGAUGCAGGCAGGGUCAACGAAAGCAGAUUCAUGUUGCCUCAGCUUCUCCAUCUGGAGGCGUAAUUGCAUGAAGAGGGAGAUGACAGAGCUCAAUCUUUUACUGGUCUGUUUGUGAAAUGGAUUGGGAACUUGGCACUGAUGGUAUUCUGCUGCUUCAAAUGCUUUCCUCUCUCCCUUAUUAAUGUCAAGUAAUGUUGAGACCACUCCAUUCGGGUGUUGGAAAGGAGUUGAUAACAGUUUCCAGUACUGAAGAGUCUUAACAUACCCAGUUUUGUAACCGGAAAAAAAUGACCCUGCAUGAUUAAGGGCGAAAUUCACUAGUCUUUCAGUUGGUAAGAGGCAAGCAGAUCGUCCAUUCCUUUGGUGGUCUACGUUUUGGUUCAAGGAUAAAUGUUGUGAAAAUGAGAUCAAAGCUCUGGGUUUGAUUUCUCUAGAGUCUUCUGUUUUGUUGCAUGACCACUCAUCGUAGCCUUGUCCCAUCCAGAUGAUUUGCACAUGUUGCAAGUUGUGCUCUGAGAAAACACUGGGCGGGUUGUCAAAAUCCUUUACUUUCACUGGAAACACAAGCUAAAGUUGGGGUCAGUAGUGUAAACCUAAAAUAUGAGGGUUACUUAUUUAUUAAUGUGUCGUACCUACACGUCAUUUGUUCUUCAAAAUAUGUCGUAUACAAGAGAAAAAGAAUUUUCAAAGUACAGUGAAAAUUCUGAAGACAAAUUUUCUUCACAAUCAUUCUUUGAAAGAGAUAGUAAGAGUUUAGUAAACUCUUUCUCAAGGUAUAUAUAGGCCUUCAGAAGAGAAUAUGACUUUAGUUUUAAUAGUUAUAAGGGCUAUCAUCAAAGUUAAUCUAGAACCUACAGAUAUAAAUUAAAGACAUCAAUAGAGCUGACAGUUUUCCUGCCAUUUUCUCACCUCCUUCUAUUGUCUCCUAUUAAGAGAGAGAAUAACUUCCUCAGGAUUCAACUUGAAAGCUUUCAAUCUAUUUAACAGAAUGAAGUACACUAUGAUCUGAUUUUUCUAAAUCAUAAGAGGCUUUAGAGCUAAAUCCUGAAGACACAAAUUACAAACAAGAUUGCAAGUGACAAUUUCAUGUUUGAAAUAUCAGGUUCAUAAUAUAUAACACAAUAGCAAGGAUUUUAAAACUAUGCUUUUAUAAGGGAGUAGCAAGUUGGUGAAGCCUGGAGAAUCAGUCUCUGAAAGCUUCAUUUCUAAAGUAUCAAGAAUAUUCUUCUUGUGGGAAAAUUGCUGCUGAUAUCCAUUAAGUGCCUGCUUUCUCCUCCAACCAGAGUGUAGAGUCUACGUUUUUAACCUCUGAGACAUGCCUGGAAGUAGAACUAAGUGUGAUUCUUCAUGUAAAGACUACAAGGAAGAGAAAAAAUUGGAUUUCCCAAACUUGAUAGAGGACUAUCCAGUUCAUUCCUGGACUAAUGAAUCGAAAGGAAAAUGUCUUCUCAAUAGUUAGAAUCCACAUAUAGACAUGGGACAAUGAGCAAAGAUGAAGCAAAUCUAUCAUAAAAAAAGUUAUGGCAAACUCUCAAAAUGAGCCUAAAUGGAGAAAAACAGGUAUUUACAA
rnacentral:lncRNA from 1 species